rnacentral:misc_RNA from 1 species
UCAUUUGUACUCUCAAGCUUUGCUUGGUGUUGGGUGUUUGUCCUUGCCUUUGCGUUUGGACUCGCCUUAAAUUCAUUGGCAGCCUAUAUAUUGGUUUGAAGCGCAGCACAUUUUGCGAUUCUGUCUAGUACUAUUAGCGUCCAUAAAGCACAAUUAACACUUUUGACCUCGGAUCAAGUAGGGAUACCCGCUGAACUUAA